UGCCAGCAGCCGCGGUAAGACGGAGGGGGCUAGCGUUGUUCGGAAUUACUGGGCGUAAAGGGCGCGUAGGCGGAUUAGUAAGUUGGAAGUGGAAGCCCAGGGCUCAACCUUGGAACUGCUUUCAAAACUGCUAGUCUUGAGUGAAGUAGGGGGUAAUGGAAUUCCUAGUGUAGAGGUGAAAUUCUUAGAUAUUAGGAGGAACACCGGUGGCGAAAGCGAUUACCUGGCCUUCAACUGACGCUGAGGCGCGAAAGCGUGGGGAGCAAACAGGAUUAGAUA
rnacentral:rRNA from 1 species